UACCAGAUCCUCUACUAACAACUACUUUGCUUCUUUAUUUUAAAGGUCCACGCUGAUACUUUAGGUUUCUUCUGGGUGACACAGAAGCAAUUGACUUUGGCCGAAACUUUUGUGGCAGUUGAUACACCUGAUGAGUUCCAUAAUUCGUUUAGCAGCUCUCUUCUUGACCAUUUAAGAAUCCAAGUUGACAGCAGGUAUAUAACAUGCUCACCAAGCAAGUUUCCUCUUAUAACUUGUGAAAUAGUCAACUUUCCCCAUCAUUGCCUCAACUUUUUGAUAAGUAAUGGACAUCAUUUGCUUAAAGUUUUAUUUUGCUAUGGUGCAACAUCUCAUAAGAUGGAAAAGUAUCGGAGGAGCAUUUGGAACUGCCGGUGUGGCUCAACUUCAGUGG
ensembl:lncRNA